GAUGAACGCUGGCGGCGUGCCUAAUACAUGCAAGUCGAGCGAACGGACGAGAAGCUUGCUUCUCUGAUGUUAGCGGCGGACGGGUGAGUAACACGUGGAUAACCUACCUAUAAGACUGGGAUAACUUCGGGAAACCGUAGCUAAUACCGGAUAAUAUUUUGAACCGCAUGGUUCAAAAGUGAAAGACGGUCUUGCUGUCACUUAUAGAUGGAUCCGCGCUGCAUUAGCUAGUUGGUAAGGUAACGGCUUACCAAGGCAACGAUGCAUAGCCGACCUGAGAGGGUGAUCGGCCACACUGGAACUGAGACACGGUCCAGACUCCUACGGGAGGCAGCAGUAGGGAAUCUUCCGCAAUGCGCGAAAGCCUGACGGAGCAACGCCGCGUGAGUGAUGAAGGUCUUCGGAUCGUAAAACUCUGUUAUUAGGGAAGAACAUAUGUGUAAGUAACUGUGCACAUCUUGACGGUACCUAAUCAGAAAGCCACGGCUAACUACGUG
rnacentral:rRNA from 1 species